UACGAAGGGGGCUAGCGUUGUUCGGAAUUACUGGGCGUAAAGCGCGCGCAGGCGGUCCUUCAAGUCAGAGGUGAAAGCCCAGAGCUCAACUCUGGAACGGCCUUUGAGACUAGAGGACUUGGGUACGGGAGAGGUGAGUGGAAUUCCGAGUGUAGAGGUGAAAUUCGUAGAUAUUCGGAAGAACACCAGUGGCGAAGGCGGCUCACUGGCCCGGAACUGACGCUGAGGCGCGAAAGCGUGGGGAGCAAACAGG
rnacentral:rRNA from 1 species